CGUCAGUGGACACGACGAGCGGUCAACGAAAACUUUGGCAAACUAGGAUAUCAGAAUGGCCAGACUGUUAGCCGCCACCAGAAUCUACAAACAUACAGCAGUUUAACGACACGGAAUGUUUUACCAGAGACUUGAAUUUGUGUGGGAAUCGGACUACGCGACAAGCAACAAGAGUAAAGUAAGGUCAUACUAAACGAUUGAUUGUUUUCACAAACCAGUCUGUUUAGCUGCUGUAUCUGAGGAGUGAGGAAAGGUCUUGAGAUGAAUCUCUUAGAGAAACAGAGUGUGAGAUCAGGUUCACAUGUGUCUAGCUCUGUGUCUGUGAAGAGUGACCAUUCAAAAGGUGGCAUGCCAAACUUUCGUGAGAAAAAAACAUCUAUUAAAAGGAAAAGAUCAGGCUCACAUGUGUUCCGCUCUGUGUCUGUGAAGAGUGACUUGUCAAAAGGUGAUGUGCCGAACUUCAGUGAGGAAACGAUCAAAAGGUUUAAACGCAAUACAAAAGAUUCAUACUUCCAGACUCUCGGGAACCAAAAGAAUUUCGAAGACAAUCUCCUAGGGGUCUUCCAUGUAAGAAAACAUUUAAAAUGUUUGAUAAUAGUGUAUUUAUUUAUUUAUUUUA
rnacentral:lncRNA from 1 species